AGGGAAUUUUCGGCAAUGGGCGCAAGCCUGACCGAGCAACGCCGCGUGAGUGAAGACGGCCUUCGGGUUGUAAAGCUCUGUUGUAAAGGAAGAACGGCCUGGAUAGGAUCUAGGAGUGACGGUACUUUACCAGAAAGCCACGGCUAACUACGUGCCAGCAGCCGCGGUAAUACGUAGGUGGCAAGCGUUAUCCGGAAUUAUUGGGCGUAAAGGGUGCGUAGGCGGUUGAUUAAGUUUUAGGUGAAAGCGUGGGGCUCAACUCCAUACAGCCUAAGAAACUGGUCAACUAGAGUGCAGAAGAGGGUAGUGGAAUUCCAUGUGUAGCGGUAAAAUGCGUAGAUAUAUGGAGGAACACCAGUGGCGAAGGCGGCUACCUGGUCUGUAACUGACGCUCAAGCACGAAAGCGUGGGGAGCAAAU
rnacentral:rRNA from 1 species